rnacentral:tRNA from 1 species
GCCUCCAUAGCCCAAUCGGCAGAGGCAGCAGACUUAAAAUCUGUUCAGUGUGGGUUCGAGUCCCACUGGAGGCACUA